AGAGUUUGAUUCUGGCUCAGAACGAACGCUGGCGGCGUGGAUAAGACAUGCAAGUCGAACGAGAGAAUUGCUAGCUUGCUAAUAAUUCUCUAGUGGCGCACGGGUGAGUAACACGUGAGUAACCUGCCCCCAAGAGUGGGAUAGCCCCGGGAAACUGGGAUUAAUACCGCAUAAAAUCGCAAGAUUAAAGCAGCAAUGCGCUUGGGGAUGGGCUCGCGUCCUAUUAGUUAGUUGGUGAGGUAACGGCUCACCAAGGCGAUGACGGGUAGCCGGUCUGAGAGGAUGUCCGGCCACACUGGAACUGAGACACGGUCCAGACACCUACGGGUGGCAGCAGUCGAGAAUCAUUCACAAUGGGGGAAACCCUGAUGGUGCGACGCCGCGUGGGGGAAUGAAGGUCUUCGGAUUGUAAACCCCUGUCAUGUGGGAGCAAAUUAAAAAGAUAGUACCACAAGAGGAAGAGACGGCUAACUCUGUGCCAGCAGCCGCGGUAAUACAGAGGUCUCAAGCGUUGUUCGGAAUCACUGGGCGUAAAGCGUGCGUAGGCGGUUUCGUAAGUCGUGUGUGAAAGGCGGGGGCUCAACCCCCGGACUGCACAUGAUACUGCGAGACUAGAGUAAUGGAGGGGGAACCGGAAUUCUCGGUGUAGCAGUGAAAUGCGUAGAUAUCGAGAGGAACACUCGUGGCGAAGGCGGGUUCCUGGACAUUAACUGACGCUGAGGCACGAAGGCCAGGGGAGCGAAAGGGAUUAGAUACCCCUGUAGUCCUGGCAGUAAACGGUGCACGCUUGGUGUGCGGGGAAUCGACCCCCUGCGUGCCGGAGCUAACGCGUUAAGCGUGCCGCCUGGGGAGUACGGUCGCAAGAUUAAAACUCAAAGAAAUUGACGGGGACCCGCACAAGCGGUGGAGUAUGUGGCUUAAUUCGAUGCAACGCGAAGAACCUUACCUGGGCUUGACAUGUAAUGAACAACAUGUGAAAGCAUGCG
rnacentral:rRNA from 1 species